UUUAUAGUUUUAACUAAAUAUAUACUGUGUACUGUGUUCUAACUUCUAAGACUUUAUUAUUUGUUAUUAUAAUUAUUAUUACUAGACAAUUGAAAAUGUGUUUACUGUGUAGUAUGAAAUUAUUGCACACUAAAUUUAUACAUAAAUUUGAUGUGAACUUUUACUUGACAAUGACUCAGAUGACGAGUUUAUUUAUGAAAUCGAAGAAUACGAUGAAGAAACUUACGAAGAGCUGAUCGAGACAGAAGCAGAUACAGUAUCUACUACAAGUACACAACCCAGAACUCUUAGUACACAACCUUCAAACCAGCGUAGACCAGUCCAACCGGAACAAAUAAAUCCAAAAUGAAAAAAACAAGGAGUGUUUAGACCUAAGGUCCAUAAUUUUGAUUCAUCCAAGUCAUUGAUUAUUUUUUUAGAGUGGAAUUCAAAAAGCAGAAUUUGAGCUAAACGAUGAAUCUACUGUUUUGGAUUUUUUUGAAGCUUUUGUAACUCCAAAUUUGUUGGGAAAAAUUGCUUUUGAAACAAAUCAGUAUUGCCAUAAAUAUAAUAUUUAAACACCUCAUUCCAGAGUUACACGUUGGACAGAUACUACAUUUGGAGAGGUUUAUGUGUUUUUGGCUUUAACCAUGCUAAUGGCACAAAAUAAAAAAUAAGAAAUAUCUGAUUAUUGGUCAACUGAUCCACUUCUCCAUUAAUCCAUAUUUGGUCAACAUAUGAAUCGUGACCGUUAUUUACUAUUACUUAGAAUGCUCCACUUUAGCAACAAUGAUGACCAAAUACCCGGAGAUCAACUAUUUAAGAUUCGAAUGCCAUUACAGGAAAUAACUAAAAAUUUCAAAGAUGCCAUGAUCCCGUUUGAAAGUUUAGCAAUCGAUGAAAGUCUAGUACUGUGGGCUGUCUAUCAUUUACACAAUUUAUUAAAACAAAGCGACACCGCUUUGGGAUCAAAAUUUUUGUUAUUUGUGAUGUGGAAACCGAUUUUAUGCUUGACAUACUUAUAUACACUGGAAGCACUACUAAAUAUAAAAAAACCGAUCCAAACCUUGGUAAUUGUUAAGAAAAAGUUAUGAAUCAAACAUGUAUACUGUAUACAAAAAAAUA